UACGUAGGGUGCGAGCGUUAAUCGGAAUUACUGGGCGUAAAGCGUGCGCAGGCGGUUUUGUAAGCCAGAUGUGAAAUCCCCGGGCUUAACCUGGGAAUGGCAUUUGGGACUGCAAGGCUCGAGUGCGGCAGAGGAGACUGGAAUUCCUGGUGUAGCAGUGAAAUGCGUAGAUAUCAGGAGGAACACCAAUAGCGAAGGCAGCUCGCUGGGACGGUACUGACGCUGAGGCGCGAAAGCGUGGGGAGCGAACAGG
rnacentral:rRNA from 1 species